rnacentral:piRNA from 1 species
UCAUGGUGGACCUUCCCUCCUCAGC